AUGACUACAGGGAAUCGCCAAAAGGCUAAACGGAGGGCUGCACAAACACAGCAAGGACCAAGUACAGAGAGCACAAUAAUCUCAAAUAAACAGCUCAAGGGGAGGUCACAGGGGCUUACAUGUCUUUACACUAAUGCUCAGAGCAUGGGAAAUAAGCAAGACGAACUCCAACUCUUAGCACAGCAGCACACAUACUAUGUCAUAGGCAUCACUGAAACCUGGUGGGAUGACUCCCAUCACUGGAAUUUAACCAUUGAGGGCUAUAACCUCUUUCACAGAAAUAGAACAAAGGGGAGAGGAGGGGGAGUAGCUUUAUAUGUCAAAAACAGUUACGUUGCAGAAGAAAUGCAAGACUGUAAUCUGGGAAACCAGCUUGAAAGCAUCUGGAUAAGAAUCAAGGGAACCGGGACUCAAAAAGACCUUGUCGUGGGUGUCUACUACAGACCUCCGAGUCAGGAUGAAGGACUUGAUGAAGCUUUCUGUCAACAGCUGACCAAACAGGCACAAAGAAGAGAUAUAGUAGUCAUGGGCGAUUUCAAUUAUCCCGAUAUCUGCUGGAAAACAAACUCAGCCAAGAGUACAAAGUCCAACAAAUUCCUCACUUGCCUUGCAGACAAUUUUAUGGUCCAGAAGGUAGAAGAGGCAACAAGGGGAUCAACAACUCUUGAUCUAAUCUUAACAAAUGUGGAAGACCUGAUCAAUACAGUUGAAGUGGUUGGAUCCUUAGAGGCAAGUGACCAUGUGCUCCUGCAGUUUGCAAUACAAAGGAAUGCUGAAACUAAGACAAGUCAAACACGCAUUCUGGACUUUAAGAGAGCUGACUUCCAAAAAAUGAAGGAAUUACUGAGCGGCAUUCCAUGGACGCCAAUAUUAAAAAACAAGGGAGUUAAGGAUGGAUGGGAGUUUUUCAAAAGUGAAAUACUUAAGGCGCAAAUGCAAACAGUGCCAACAAAGAAGAAAAAUAAGACAAAUGCAAAGAAGCCAGAAUGGAUGUCCAAAGAACUUCUAACUGAGCUAAAGCUCAAAAGUGACAUGCACAAGAAGUGGAAAAGGGGAGAAAUCACCAAAGAAGAAUUCAAACGUAUAGCCAACACCUGUAGGGAAAAGGUUCGCAAGGCUAAAGCGCAAAAUGAGCUCAGGCUUGCCAGGGACAUAAAAAACAACAAAAAAGGCUUUUUUGCUUACGUUGGUAGAAAAAGGAAGAAAAAGGAGGCGAUAGGGCCACUGCAAGAAGAAGAUGGGGUGAUGGUGACAGGGGAUAGGGAAAAGGCAGAACUGCUUAAUGCCUUCUUUGCCUCAGUCUUCUCACAAAAAGAAAGCCAUCUUCAACCUCAGCAACAUGGAAUGGACGAAGGAUUGGGGGAAAUCCAACCCCAAAUAGGGAAACAAGUUGUCCAGGAACACCUGGCCACUCUAAACGAAUUCAAGUCGCCAGGGCCAGAUCAGCUACAUCCAAGAGUAUUGAAGGAACUAGCGGAAGUUAUUUCAGAACCACUGGCAAUCAUCUUCGAGAGUUCUUGGAGAACAGGAAAAGUCCCAGCAGAUUGGAGGAGGGCGAAUGUGGUCCCUAUCUUCAAGAAGGGAAAAAAGAACGACCCAAACAAUUACCUCAUACCUCAUACCUCAGCCUCAUAUCAAUACCAGGCAAGAUUCUGGAAAAGAUCAUUAAGGAAGUGGUCUGCAAACACUUAG
rnacentral:lncRNA from 1 species